rnacentral:rRNA from 1 species
UCCUACGGGAGGCAGCAGUGAGGAAUAUUGGUCAAUGGGCGCAGGCCUGAACCAGCCAAGUCGCGUGAGGGAAGACUGCCCUAUGGGUUGUAAACCUCUUUUAUAAGGGAAGAAUAAUGACUACGUGUAGUCAGAUGCCCGUACCUUAUGAAUAAGCAUCGGCUAACUCCGUGCCAGCAGCCGCGGUAAUACGGAGGAUGCGAGCGUUAUCCGGAUUUAUUGGGUUUAAAGGGUGCGUAGGCGGAAUGCCAAGUCAGCGGUAAAAUCGCGGGGCUCAACCUCGCUCCGCCGUUGAAACUGGCGUU